GGCAUGGUGGCUUAGUGGCUAGUACUGUUACCUUAGACUGCCAGGGUUGGGGGUUUGAAUCCCACCUCUGCCG